rnacentral:lncRNA from 1 species
UGCACAGGUCCUCCCCGGUUCGGUGGGUGAAACUGGCUAUUUCAAUUUUAUCCCGGUCGUGAUUUCGGGAUUUUAUCGUAAAAAAUGGGAAAAUUCGGGAGAGGAACGGGCCCACGGUUGCUGAGCAACCGCCGUCGCAGCAUCGCCGUAUUGCGAUUAUCAGUUUGUUGUGUUUGAUGUGUUUGAUUGUGUUUCAUGGUGUGUUGAUGUGUUUGAAUGUGUUUCAUGAUGUGUUUUUUUGUGUUUGUCGCGUGUUGUGUGUCACAACAAACACAUCAAAUCUAUCAUAAAACACAAUCAAACACAACAAACACAUCAUGAAAUACAAUCAAAUACUAUACUAUUAAAACUAUAUUUCAAAUUUUAACUAUAUUUCAAAGUACUAAAUUGACUGCGUUCAGCAGAAAAGGAACCAAGCCACAUCGGCUUUUGCAAAAUUUAACUUGGUCAUUUCGUUUUUUAUUAGAGAACGUUGUGCGGAUUCCUUUGAAACGUUUAAAUAGUUCGCCCCGUACCAUGCAGGAAUUUCUCCGAAAUUUGCACAAAAAUCCGCACAACCGUUUUUAUGUAAAAUCAAAUAGCCCGAUUAAAUUUGACAAUAGCCGGUGUGGCUUGGUUCCUUUCUGCUUAUCUUGGUCCAAAUGAGGAUAAAAAUAGUCGCAAUACAAAGAGUUCGCUUAAGUCCCAAGGAUUUCUCAAAGUUCAAUUAUAUACGGUAUUAAUAAUGGUACCAAGACCAUUGGAAAAUCAAAUUUUCCCGCCAAACGGAAAAUUGGGGGCGAGCCCAUGAAACAUUGCGAGCACGUACCAUUGUAUCAAUCGUACAGAAACGAAGCAAAACCGCCACAAAAGGCGCAGCACUCCGUAUUGAGGGUGCGCCCAAAAUUUCUGUCUUUCCCAACUUGCGUGAAACAUGUCCGCGGCGCGAUUGAGCACCGGGGAGACCUCGGGCGGGCGAGCUCGCAGGUGGAAUCGAGAAACGUCAUCGAACGCGGGAGGGAAUCGCGUGCCGGGCGCGCGCGGAAUGUGUUUGUUAUUGUUGGCUUAUCAUUGUUUCGCCGGGUGCCUCGUGCGUUCGUCGGCUGCUCCGUCCGACUUCAAAGCAGCACGACAACAUGAUCAAAGAAUGCAAUCACACCCGGAAUAUUGUACAGCAUCAAUCAGGACGGCGAGUAGCUAUGAAGCUGUUUAGGAUCUCAAGAGUGCCAUAGAUGACAUCAUUGUAAAGUGUACUUCAGACAAUUUCUCUGCCUGACAUUUGCUCUACGUUCAAAAGAAGCCAUUCCUAGAAACUGGUAAGUUAAUUUCAUACUAUUGGUGGGAGGCACAGUUAUCUGUUCACUGGAGCAAAAAAAAAUUCAAUAUGUUAGCAGGCCUCUACUCUUUUGGUAAGAUGAAAAACAAAGUUAACACGUUAAAAACAAGGUUAUAGAAAGUACCUUGAGGGCUGGACACACGUUCAAAGUGGAGCUUCAAAGUGGUAAACGUUUAGUCAAGUGUUGAUUGAUGACCUUCAAAGGAGAGCGGCCCGCUCUCCUUUGAAGGUCAUCGAUGCUCUGCGGAUCUCAACGUCCAUCUAACCUCUCCAAGCGCGCGGCAAUUUAAGUGCGUCUACAAUAACAGCCCUCCCUAACCUGUGAAAUCUGGUGAAAUCGAAAUCAUUACAAAUUGUAAUUUUCUACCUUAUCAGAAGUUUAAAUAAUCCAGUUCCUUCCAGUGAAAAUUUCCUUCAGUGAUUACUCUAACAGGAUCCUUCAGACUUCUAUUCAGUGCAUCUUUGAUGUUCAGCACAUUGUCACCCAUUAACUCAACGCACCUUCACCUCUCUAAGCACGCGGCUAGUUCUAGUGAAAAAUUAUGGAAAUUAACCAAGGUCCUACCGUUUCAACUCUGAAACUAAAAAACCCAGUCUCAUUUGCAGGAAGACAGGUUAUCGCACAAGCUGGAAAUGCUGCUUCCAAAGCAAGGGUAAUUAUUAUUCCGCCUAAACCUGUCAUGGGUCCUCACCCAGCCCCAAAAAGUAUUGCUAAUAACGCCACAGGGAAAAGAACCAUGUAAAGCAACCAAGAAAACAGUUACGCAACCAGAAAGAGGAAAUGGCGAAAUACUACUGCGCCCAAGGUUGGUUCCUGGACGGCUCCGCAGACACUAGAGCUCAUAGGAGCUAUUAAAGAGAACCCGUGUCUUUACCAAGUAAAACAUCCGGAUUACCUGGAUCGGAGGAAGAAAGAUGACGCCUACAAUCGCAUCAGAGAAUUCAUCUCAGGGUUUAGAGAAAACACCACAGGUAAGUGAAAUUUACUUCAUCUGUGGGUGUGGGGUUCGAGUCUAGACUUCAAAUAUCAAAGCAAGAAAGUCUAUAAUUGGCCGAUCUAAACUCUGAUGGGCCGGUUUUCCAGUUCACCCCUGACGGAAAGCAAAAAAUAACAUCGAUAAGAGAAGACUGUAUUGACAAAAGCUGUUCAAUGAUCAAUGAAUCUUUUGAUCUUCUGUCAUUUGUUUAAUCUGUGCCCGAUUCCAAGGGAAAGCUGAGUAAUCUUUAACAAAAUUCAGUUAUAAUGAAAUUUUU